rnacentral:rRNA from 1 species
AGAGUUUGAUCCUGGCUCAGGAUGAACGCUGGCGGCGUGCUUAACACAUGCAAGUCGAACGAAGCACUUUAUUUGAUUUCUUCGGAAUGAAGAUUUUGUGACUGAGUGGCGGACGGGUGAGUAACGCGUGGGUAACCUGCCUCAUACAGGGGGAUAACAGUUGGAAACGACUGCUAAUACCGCAUAAGCGCACAGGGUCGCAUGACCUGGUGUGAAAAACUCCGGUGGUAUGAGAUGGACCCGCGUCUGAUUAGCCAGUUGGUGGGGUAACGGCCUACCAAAGCGACGAUCAGUAGCCGACCUGAGAGGGUGACCGGCCACAUUGGGACUGAGACACGGCCCAAACUCCUACGGGAGGCAGCAGUGGGGAAUAUUGCACAAUGGGGGAAACCCUGAUGCAGCGACGCCGCGUGAGCGAAGAAGUAUUUCGGUAUGUAAAGCUCUAUCAGCAGGGAAGAAGAAAUGACGGUACCUGACUAAGAAGCACCGGCUAAAUACGUGCCAGCAGCCGCGGU